rnacentral:rRNA from 1 species
CCCGGUAAACGGCGGCCGUAACUAUAACGGUCCUAAGGUAGCGAAAUUCCUUGUCAGGUAAGUUCUGACCCGCACGAAUGGCGUAAUGAUUUGGGCACUGUCUCAACAGCCCGCCCGGCGAAAUUGUAGUACUGGUGAAGAUGCCAGUUACCCGCAACUAGACGGAAAGACCCCAUGGAGCUUUACUGUAGCCUAAUACUGAAGAUCGGUAAUGCAUGUACAGGAUAGGUGGGAGCCAGCGAAACCCGGGCGUCAGCUCGGAUGGAGGCAACCUUGGAAUACCACCCUUGUAUUGCUGGUUUUCUAACCUGCGGCCAUGAAUCUGGUCGGGGGACACUGUUAGGUGGGCAGUUUGACUGGGGCGGUCGCCUCCAAAAGCGUAACGGAGGCGCUCAAAGGUUGGCUCAGCACGGACGGAAAUCGUGCAUAGAGUGCAAACGCAUAAGCCAACUUGACUGCGAGACCGACGGGUCGAGCAGGUACGAAAGUAGGAGUUAGUGAUCCGGUGGUAUGUGAGUGGAAAUGCCAUCGCUCAACGGAUAAAAGCUACCCUGGGGAUAACAGGCUGAUCUCCCCCAAGCGUCCACAGCGACGGGGAGGUUUGGCACCUCGAUGUCGGCUCGUCACAUCCUGGGGCUGUAUUCGGUCCCAAGGGUUCGGCUGUUCGCCGAUUAAAGUGGCACGCGAGCUGGGUUCAGAACGUCGUGAGACAGUUCGGUCCCUAUCUGUUGCGGGCGUAAGAGAUUUGAAGGGAGCUGUCCUUAGUACGAGAGGACCGGGAUGGACAGACCUCUGGUGCACCAGUUGUCGUGCCAACGGCACAGCUGGGUAGCUACGUCUGGACGAGAUAAACGCUGAAAGCAUCUAAGUGUGAAACUCCCCCUAAGAUAAGAUCUCCCAUCCAUUAGGAGUAAGGGACGACAGAGACUAUGUCGUUGAUAGGUCGGAAGUGUAAGUGCAGUAAUGCAUUGAGCUGACCGAUACUAAUAACCCGAGGGCUUGACCU